rnacentral:lncRNA from 1 species
GGCAAGCCCUCCUGGAGGCCACACAGAGGGGUGUUUGUUCGCAGUGGGCGGCGGGAGAGAUGCUAAUCGCGGUGGAUCGCUGGUCCCAGCUGAAGGUCAGGAGUGUAGGUGGACCUGCCCUGACACAUUUCCACGCCUGAGCCCUGUUAAAGUAUGAAGAAAGUCAAAGACUGGCUGCCCUCCAGGUUCUCCUCCCUGUCCAGUGGCUGAGAUGUGCUCCUCGGGUUGGACUCAGGCUGAGCAGCUCCUAUAGGCCUAAAGCCUGUAGCCCGGGGAUGCCCAGGACAGCAGAACAGACUUUCAGAUCCGCCCUCUCCUCCUCGGGACUACCUCACCAUCUACACUUGGAUUAGUAAUGGGAUGGUCAAGCCG